GGCUUGGUGGUGGAAUGGUCCAUAUCUGCAUUCAAUACCGCAACUAUCUUUCACCUGCUUAUGCAGAAGUAGCUCGUUCGAUUCGGGCCCAAGCCA